ACCAAACUAAAGUGCUCGCCUUUCUCUCUCUCUCUUCUCCAUCCCCCCUUCUCCACCGCCACCGUUCAACUUCCUCCGCUAUCACCACUCUCCUUCCUUCGUCACUGCUCUUACUCUCUUAAACACCCUCAUUUUCCUUUUCAUUAAGUUCCAUAGCGAUCACCGCCAUCUUCUUCAAGCUCUUCUCUGUCUAGCACGCCACUAAGUGCCAGAUCGCCAUCUACUGCGCCGUCGACACUGCCCAAUUCCAUCUCAUCAAAGGCGGAAGCUGCUCCGUCCUUUUCUCUAUCGCGAUUCUCUCAUUGAUCUACGCUUCGUCCUUGUGGCUGUGCUGUCACUACCGCUACUGCUCCUACUCUUUCUCUGUUGGUGGCUUUUCUAUUGUUGUUCAUCGCACCGACGAUCAUCCUCUACAGAGUAGCAAUGAUAGCAGAUCUGUAAACAUUAGAAUUUAAAACCCUAAUUUGAUUAAAACUGAAAGCAAUCUCUUUAUGAAAACGACGAGAGAUUGAAAUUAGGGUUUGUGAAUCGAAUCACAUUCCAUUAGAGCUUAGAUUUGUUCGCAUUCCCUUAUAUAUAUUUUUUUCCUUAAAAUUAUAAGAGAUUGGUUGUAUUUUUAUUUUUAUUUUUUUUUUUUUUGUGGCUCGGAUUUGUUGUUUUGCUAUGGUAGAUCUGGAUUUGUGGAGAUCUCAAAUGAGAUCUUUAUUUUUAUUUAUUUUUUGUUGUUGAUUAUUAUUAGUAUUGUGGUUGUUGUUGUUGUUGUUGCUUAGGGUUUAGUUGUUGUUGUUGUUGUUGAUGAUGAUGAAUAUGUGGUGUACUAAUGAUGAA